GAAGUGCAAUGGAUAGCGCGUUGGACUUUUAUUUCCAAAGGUAGUGGGUUCGAAUUCCACCUGGAAUG